AAUGAGAAGUUUAAUGGCCGCAGUAUUUUGACUGUGCAAAGGUAGCAUAAUCAUUAGUUUCUUAAUUAGAAACUGGAAUGAAAGGUUGGACGAGAAAAUAACUGUCUCUUUAUAAAUUUUUUAGAAAUUUAUUUUUAAGUUAAAAAGCUUAAAUUUAUUUGAAAGACGAGAAGACCCUAUAGAGUUUAAUAAAAUUUUUAUUAAAAAUUAAAAUUGAAUUAUUUUAAUUUUAUUAAUUAUUUUAUUUAGUUGGGGUGAUUGAAAAAUUUAUUAAACUUUAUUUGUAUAAAAACAUUAAUUUAUGACUUUUUGAUCCAUUUUUUUUAUGAUUAUAAGAUUAAAUUACCUUAGGGAUAACAGCGUAAUUUCUUUUUAGAGUUCUAAUCGAUAAAGAAGUUUGCGACCUCGAUGUUGGAUUAAAAUUUAAUUUUGGUGUAGAAGCUAAAAAUGUUAGGUCUGUUCGACCUUUAAAAUUUUACAUGAUCUGAGUUUAAACCGGUGUGAGCCAGGUUGGUUUCUAUCUUUAAAAAAUUAAAAUAUUUUAGUACGAAAGGACCAAGUAUUUAUAAAAAUUAU
rnacentral:rRNA from 1 species